GGCUCAGGAUGAACGCUAGCUACAGGCUUAACACAUGCAAGUCGAGGGGAAACGAUAUUGGAAGCUUGCUUCCGAUAGGCGUCGACCGGCGCACGGGUGAGUAACGCGUAUCCAACCUGCCCACCACUUGGGGAUAACCUUGCGAAAGUAAGACUAAUACCCAAUGAUAUCUCUAGAAGACAUCUGAAAGAGAUUAAAGAUUUAUCGGUGAUGGAUGGGGAUGCGUCUGAUUAGCUUGUUGGCGGGGUAACGGCCCACCAAGGCGACGAUCAGUAGGGGUUCUGAGAGGAAGGUCCCCCACAUUGGAACUGAGACACGGUCCAAACUCCUACGGGAGGCAGCAGUGAGGAAUAUUGGUCAAUGGGCGAGAGCCUGAACCAGCCAAGUAGCGUGCAGGACGACGGCCCUAUGGGUUGUAAACUGCUUUUAUAUGGGGAUAAAGUGAGUUACGUGUAGCUUAUUGCAGGUACCAUAUGAAUAAGGACCGGCUAAUUCCGUG
rnacentral:rRNA from 1 species